UGCCUCGUGACCUGCCCUUGUCCCAUCACUAAAAUGCAGUGAACGACGCUAACCCAUUACUAGUGUUGAAGCAAGAUUCAGCUGCCAUUCUGGUUGGCUUCUGUAUGUGGAAUGGGGAGAGGGUACCACUUUGUCCUUGCCUCUCAGGCAGCAAAAUGUCUUGAGCCAGCUCUGCCAAUGGAGCUGUACAGUUCACCUGCAUGUCUGGGAUUGGGGUUAAGGGAUGGGAGAACAGUGAAGGAAAAAGCCAAACUGCAGAGAUGGGGGGGGGGGGAGCAGAGGGAGCAGUCAUGGAAAAGAAGAAAGAAUCAAGUGGUUAUUGUUGCUAAUUUAUUUAAUGGAGUUAUUAAGCCUGGUUUUCAAAAAGGAGAUUACAGUGUACUCUAAAACAAAGAGUAAAAAGCUAACAAAUGCAGGGCUGUAUGCGACUGACUUCUACUCAGAGUAAGCCCACUGAAAUGAAUGAGUUCUAAGUUAGACAUGCCUAAUAACUGCAAAGGGUCUAUUAUGAGUAAGACUAGCACGGGCUACAACUCACAAUCAACAAUAUUCAGGACCUGAGCCACUAAUAGAAAAAAUAAGAGCAGCAGCAGAUAAAAGCGCAAUAUGACAAAAUCAACCAAGUGCAGACUGGAUUAAAUAAGCCUUUGGCCAGCAAAGGGGAGUGGCAUACUUCCUGGGAGAGGCAAUUCCAAAAAUUUGGUGCCACCCCAUAAAAGGUCCUGUCCCUGGUCUCACUUCAUAAGAAAGCUGUGUGUGCCUGUUAGUAGUAAUUAAAGAGACACUCUCCAAGGUGGGAAAAGAUUCUCAGAUGUUGUUCCAAUGCACAUCUGAGAAUACAUUAUUUAAUUAUUCUCUCUUUCAACUGUGUAAUGGAUUUUUAAACUGCUUUUCAAGAACAAUUAUCUUCCCAUGGCAGACUAGCAGCUGUUCACAGGGGACGUGAGAAAUGCAGGAUGCUUGCAGUGGAACCUUUCACCAUGGCCAUCAAUAGGCUGAAUAACCUGAUACUUGUGUAUUUAAAUGGCAUUUCUAUCUUUCACACAUGCUCACAGACAGCAGGUUGGGAGAGGCACAAAAGUAUCUUAAGUGCCAUGUGUGAAAUAUUCCUAAAUCCCGGUGGGAGUACAGUGUCUGACACGUCCAUAACUGAAAGCUCUUGGCUACAUCUGAGCCUCCUUGGCAGAUAUCUUUCCUGUUUCAUGGCACUUAACACCCACUGCAGGGAUUUCUGAACAAGCACGGUUGGCAAUGGAAGAAGAUGCAUGCAGAGGAAGGAUGGGGCAAGCGAGGCAGAGGAAAAGUGCAGAAAGGGAAGAAGAGACAGAUAGCAUCAUAGCUCUCAAGGGUAUUACAUUGUUCUAGGGACAAUCUGGGAGAGGGCAUUGCUGUAAAGAAGGAAAAGAGUUUUUCUGGGGUGGGGUGGGAAGCUGCAAAUCUAGAAACAGUUCAGUCCAAUUCCUAAAAAUAAUCUGAGUCUUACAGCACUGUGCUCAUGGGACUUACUCUCUGGUAAGAGAGCCCUGUUUGGGGACGUUUUUAAUAUUUAAUGUUGUAUUGUUUUUAACACUCGAUUGGGAGCCGCCCAGAGUGGCUGGGGAAGCUCAGCCAGAUGGGCGGGGUAUAAAUAAUAAAUUAUUAUUAUUAUAUAAGAGCCUAUAGGAUUGCAAUCUUAACAAGUUGCACAAAGAGCCCUAUGGGCUCAGAUCACAAGUCCAUAUAGAUCAGCAUCCUGGUUCCAAAAGUUGCCAGCAAUUUCUGCUUUUCUCUCAAUGGCAGCUUAACUGAAAGCCAACAGCUUCCCAUACCCUUGAACUUUGUCUCCCCUUGCAAACCUAUAUUAUCCCCAAAUGCAAUGCCAAUUUUCAGAUGGUAGAAAACAUUUUUUCCAUAGGUUGUAGAUCCCACUCUCAAAGGCUAGAUUUAAGAAUUACUUUAUUCUUUUGCUGAGUCCAUUAUGGAAUGUGUGCUUUUUUUUUCUUCAAUUACAAGGUGAAAUGAACAGUUUUAUCAGUACUGCAAACUGACACAGAAAGAUUUGCUAGAGUUAUUAAUUUUACUCUUUCCCUUGUAAGCCAUAGUUAUAGUUAAACAUGGAACACAGCACAUCGUACAAGCAGGUUUAUUGCAGAGAAGCACGUUUAUUGGACCAGUGGAGGCAGCGGCAGCCACCACCAAUGUCUUGUAAAUGUCAAUUACAACAUCUAAAUGUGCUCUGCAAUUUUCACGCCAAAUUAGAGGACCUAUAACACCAUCUCCUUGCGUAUGAGAUAUGGCAGCCAGCCAAGCGCAUCCAUCACGCAUCCGUGUGAGACCUCAAAUCAAUUCCCCUUUCAAAAAUUCUCUUGCAGGCAAAGGGCUAUGCAGUAUUUCAUGGGGAUGAAGAGGGGCUCAUCAGAUAUUUGUCUUGCAGAGAAAGAGCCUGAUAAGUAAAGCACCUCCAUAGUCUUCCUACAUCGCUGCCUAUAUUUAAGACUGUGAAAAAGACCCAGAGGUGUCUGUAGCCAAAGCCCC